rnacentral:rRNA from 1 species
AUUGAACGCUGGCGGCAUGCUUUACACAUGCAAGUCGAACGGUAACAGGCCGCAAGGUGCUGACGAGUGGCGAACGGGUGAGUAAUGCAUCGGAACGUGCCCAGUCGUGGGGGAUAACUACUCGAAAGAGUAGCUAAUACCGCAUACGAUCUAUGGAUGAAAGCGGGGGACCGUAAGGCCUCGCGCGAUUGGAGCGGCCGAUGUCAGAUUAGGUAGUUGGUGGGGUAAAGGCUCACCAAGCCAACGAUCUGUAGCUGGUCUGAGAGGACGACCAGCCACACUGGGACUGAGACACGGCCCAGACUCCUACGGGAGGCAGCAGUGGGGAGUUUUGGACAAUGGGCGCAAGCCUGAUCCAGCAAUGCCGCGUGCAGGAAGAAGGCCUUCGGGUUGUAAACUGCUUUUGUACGGAACGAAACGGCUCUGGUUAAUACCCGGGGCUAAUGACGGUACCGUAAGAAUAAGCACCGGCUAACUACGUG